rnacentral:tRNA from 1 species
CAAAAUAAAGCUUAACAAUUCUAUAGCCUUCCGUUUACACCGGAAAGAACUUCACAAGAAGAAUUUUGA